GGGCACAGCAUCCUCGGGGAGAGUGUGUCCGGGGCCGGGGCACAGCAUCCUCCGGGAGCGUGUGUGCGCGGUCGGAAGGCAGGAGCUCCGCGCCGGCCUUUCUGGGGGUGGAGGGUGCCGCUCGUCCCCCUCCUUCCCGCAGCGGUCAGAGGGAAGUUUGGUGCCCGGGCUGCGGGGGGGGGAUCUGCGGGCAGCGCCCCGCGGACCGAGAGAGCCGCUGACCGUCCCUUCGGCAGCGCAGGUGGUGGUGGUGGGGGAGAAGGGCGCCCGGGGGACUCCGGUGGUCCGGGACCGGCGGGAUGCAGAGCGACACGGGGGUGGCUGAGGGAAGGUCCCUUCCCUAGCAGUGCCUGAUGUGUUUCUCAGAGGCACCGAGCACGCAUAGCUUCCCUCUGCUUCGAAAUCAGGCCAUCGUAGAAUCAUAAAUAUAUAAUAUUGCGCUCCUAUGAUAUUAUGAGUAGAGAGCAGGAGAGUUAAACGCAUGCAUUGAGGAGAGGCAAAUGACAUGUAAAGGGCUUUGCUGCACAACUGCAGAGCGAUUCUCAAAUGAAAAAAAUUCAAAUCCUUACAAGAAUAAAUUUAAUUCCUGCUCGCAUGUUCCCAUAUCGCCUGCUAGGCAAGAACGCGUGAUGGAUAUCGAGCAACGAUUAGUGGAGUUACAUCUGGGUUUGGUCCACAUGGUGACUUACUGCUGAUCAAACAGCAGUCUGAAAAUCCCGAGCUGGAAAAGACCCAUUCUGGACAGAACAAUUCUACUUUGCACAUCUCUUCCAGGUCAGGGUGAAGCAGACAGCAUUGGGAAGUGUCCUGGAGGAAAGAAAAGAAGCAUCGAGCCCCACACACAAUCCUGUAUGACCAAGCAGAGCCAAACUCGCACGCUGGCUCUGCCCAGGGCACAGGGACCCCUCGGCUGCCCCCCGAGAAGUUCCUGUGCUCUGGGCAGAGGCUUGGAACCCCAAAACUGGAGCUGGAAACCUUCCCCCCCCAGCUUCCAUCCCUGGCAAAACAUACGUAUUUAUCUUGAAAGUUUGCGUUUUGACAUGUCAGCGGUUCUGCAAUAUAAAUGUGCUUGGGAUAUUUUUGAUCGGCCUAAUGGUUAGGAACUAUUAGAAGCUGCAGAACAUAUUCACAAUCAAUCCACUUAUUCAGGUGCAUGAAUACAAGCUUAGAAAAGUAAUUACAGGCACCUUUUUUCGGAAAUCUUGAGGCUGUGUGGUUUCCCCAUGGGAAAUAUGAGUAAUAAAUUCCUACUUAAAAAAAAAAAAAAAAAAAAAGAAGCAAAUGUGCUAAGCAUUAUUCUUAUUUAUUUUUGUCUUUAAUAUUUAAAAUUGUUGAUUAAAUGUUCCAGGUGAGGCAAGGCUGGAGAAAAAUUAAAAUCCUUAAUUUCAACUAUUCUUUAAAAGAAUAAACAGAAAUAUUUGAUAUCGGUAAUUUAGAUCUUCUUUACACUUUUUAAAUUUUAGUUGUCUUUUGUAAGAGAAAUGGGUUUUUAUUUUUUUGGUAAAUGUGUAAACAGAAAUCAGCUGAUCAGAAUUAGCAGCUCUGGCUAUUUUUGUUUUUCAGCUGAGAGUUUAUGUUGCAUCUAUAGAGUUAACAUCAUAUCUAUACACAUUAAAUACAUCUGGUUUAGGUUUAAAAUAUUUUAUUCAAAAGUUAAUUUCUUACCCUCUAUUGUUACAAUAUGGUGAAUAGUACUUGACAUUUUUAGUUAUUUAUGAUUUGCAUCAAGUUCUCUUUGUAUGAAAACUGACAUUCAACUAAAAUUUAUUUGAGGUCAUUUAAAAUUGUUCAUUAAAACCAUCACAAAAGUGUUUGAUGCAUUUCAAAAGUAUCUCUGCAUUUUAAGGUAUUUUAUGAACUAACUGAAAUAAUGGCCCCUAGAAGGGGAAUUAAAUUGGUGGCAUCUGGUAGCCAUGGCUUUGACAAUCUUAGAGAAAGCAGAUCUUAUCCUCUCACACUUGGGUUUAGCUGUAGAUUGACAGAGGAAAAUAGGCAAUCUUACUUUUUCUUCUCUAAUGUUGAUUUUUCAGCUUUAAUAGUCCUUAACUGAACUACUCAAAUGGAUUGAAACAAAGAAGAUAUUCACCCUGCCUGCAGAAGAAUCUGCAGCUCUCAAAAAUUGCUUUCCUGCAUCAGCUACGUCCUGUUCCAUCUGCUUAGCCAAGGCACUCAGGCUGGUGGUGUCACCUUCUGAAGCUCAGGAACAGCAAAUAUCUCUUUGUGACAAUUGAAGAGGUUCUGUGUUCCCCAUCACUUCUGGGACAUGUCAGACAUCCUGCACAUGCCCUGCAGAGCUCAUCUGUGCCUGUGCACUCCAGCCUGCACCUCCCAGGUGCUUUCCUGAGGCAUCAGAUGGAAUGAACGUGUGCUAGGAGCAGCUGAUCCACACAGUCUGGGUGGUCUUUGCCAGGACAGGGGGGUAUGUGGUGCACCUGAGCUCUGAGGCAUGGCUGUAUGUCCCUGAAACCUGGAUAAAUGUGGAGGAACAUCAGGUUGUGCCUGGGCAUGGUUAUCACAUGGAGAGAACGAUGUGUUGUCCAGGAUGGAAAGAUCUGUUCGUCAGGCAGUGGAGCUUCACACUGCUAACACACACACAGACACCAAAAUAAAAGUUUACAGGAUUUUUUUUGUUAAAUUUUACAUCUUUUCCACAGAAAUGUGGAAGUGGGUCUGAUGAAUGACUAAUAUCCCAUUGUCAUUUCUUUAGGGGGGAGGAGGUGUCUAACCUGUGUGAUAUUUUUAAGCUAAUAAACCGCUAGUUCUUAACACUAAAUUUACCAAUCAAAUCAGCCUCGUGUUGUUUUGCAGUAAACCUUAGCGAUCUCCUUUUAGCUGGGGUUAGGUGUUCCCUGCAACUCCUCAUAAAAUAGGGAGCUGUGGUACUCUGCCUGUGGGGAAAAAGCCUGGAGCCACAUAGUGAUGUAUCUGUUCAGCAGUGUGAGAGAGAAAUUCCCUAUUCACAGCCCUGCUCAGUCAUCAUUGCCUGCCGGUAAACUUUAAAUUGCCCGAGUUGCUUAAUGUCGAGAUUAAAAGCCAUUUGUUUCUUUCUUGUCCUAUGCUGUGUUUGGCAAAACAGAAGGCACAAAAGUCUCACAAUUGCUUGGAUGCCCAGCAAACAGUUACACAUUGUCCAAUUGUAUGGGUUUUUCUUGUUCUUAAAAAUAUGGUCUAAUAAUGCUAUAGAUACCAGAGGACCUUUCCAUUUGCCCAUUGUGAGCAAAAUGAAAAGCUGAAGUCUUGAAUACCAAAGUGCAAUUCUGUGAUUUGUAAAACUGAGUAGGUAUAUCCAGCAGCUACAGAAAAAUGACAGGACAAAACCUCAAACAAGCCAUCAUAGUUUCUUCCCAAAGAUGCCAAUAAAAAAGGCUUUGGAAUAAUAUUCAGCGUUUAAUUAAGACAAAUGAGAAAUGUCACAAAUAAUGCGUGUUACAGGUCACAACAAAACCAUGUGGAAUGUAGAAUUUCUCCUGUAGAAUUUCUCCUUAAGCACUGAUGUAAUUCCAAGUCUCAUUUAACAUGAGUUUUUCUUGAACUUUACUACUGUGUCAGAGGCUGAGAUGCUGCAAGUAACUCUAAAACCUGAACAGCGGUUGCUUAUGUUCCUAACAGCAAGAUGAAAUAUCUGCAUCCUCCUGUAUUAAAAUAGAAAAUGAAGUAGAGAGAAUAAAAAAGAAAACAAAGUAUUUGCAUUUUGAAAGCUGUAUUAUAUAUUUGGAAGAGCUCGAAAAGAUGAGCUGCUUUUCAGUGUUAUAAAUUAAAAAAUAUUACUGGGUGGCCAUCUAUAGCAAUAAAAGGUUUUUGGAUUGGC